CAGUCGCCGCGGUAAAACGUAGGGUGCAAGCGUUAAUCGGAAUUACUGGGCGUAAAGCGUGCGCAGGCGGUUAUAUAAGACAGAUGUGAAAUCCCCGGGCUCAACCUGGGAACUGCAUUUGUGACUGUAUAGCUAGAGUACGGCAGAGGGGGAUGGAAUUCCGCGUGUAGCAGUGAAAUGCGUAGAUAUGCGGAGGAACACCGAUGGCGAAGGCAAUCCCCUGGGCCUGUACUGACGCUCAUGCACGAAAGCGUGGGGAGCAAACAGGAUUAGAUACCCGAGUAGUCCCUGUCUCUUAUAC
rnacentral:rRNA from 1 species